rnacentral:misc_RNA from 1 species
AUGUUUUUUUUUUUUUUUUUUGAUUUGGUGAGAGG